AAGACACGUCAGCGCCCUCCAGGCACACCUGGAGUGCCCCCUUCCCUGGCACCCAGGCCCUGUCCUAGCGUGGCGCGAUCUCGCUCCUCCUGGGGAGCAGCUGGCCCAGCUUGGCUGGAGCUGAAAUGUAGAGAGAAGCCACGUCAAAAACGUGACGGAAACGCAACAGACAGGCUUGAUCCCAGCUGGGAAUGGGGGAACCCAGUUCCGGACAGGAGGAGAGGCCGAGGGAAGAGAUGCUCUCUGCGAUUACCCCUUGCACCCCGCCCGGGCUCGGGCCUGCAGCUUCGAGGGAUCCUGACCCUCCCGCGGCCACCACGUCUUUCCCCGCUUGAGAAAACCCCCGAUUGUAGCAAGAUAAAAACCGAGUAGGCUGGGGGCGGAGAGGAAAGGGGCUGACGGACCGGGAGAAGAUAGGGGAUUUCUGCUUUCGAGUUGAACCGGGCACCCGUGAGGGGGAUGGUAACUGGAGGGGUCUCUCUCACUCUCCUGGCCUUGGCAAUUUGGGGACAAAUAAGGAAAAAAAGAAAGGACUGAGGCUCCCCAGCGGGGAGGCGCAGUUACCCCAGUUGCACCCGCGGCGUGGCUGAGCGCCCUGAGCGCGCUCUUUCGGGUCCUGGCCUCUCCUCCCAGAAGGUUCUGGAGGCUUAACUGCUGAAGCCCUUGAGACCCUGGUCCCCGCACCCAGUAAAGUCGUGAACCAGACACUUGUACGCUUGGACCACGGAAUCUUAGCAUUUGGGGCAUACAAGGUGGUGCCCUGGAGACUCGGGCCGCCGGCCUCGGUCACCUGUCCCAUUUCCCCCGACCACCCAGCGAGCACAAGCGCUUUUCCCGAGCCCCGAGCGGGCGCCAGCCCCUGGGCGCUUGCCCCAGCACUGCCCCAGCUGCUCCCGGUGUGCGCUUCCGUAGAAGAUGGGCUUUAUCCUGGGGAUAAAUUGGGAUGUGACUGUGGAGGGGCCAAUUCACCCUGGGCACCAAGGGCAGCGGGGAGGUGGGAAGUGUUGCGUAGCCAGGGCAGGUAAAACCGGGAAGGAUGGUUCUGCCCCAGAUCCCGGGGAUGGCAGGGACGGGAUUUUUAAAAACUUGAAUCCUCGCUGCCUUUGGCCGCUCUAGUGAACCCCUAGAAAAAAGCUGAGAAUAUUCCUGGCUCUGUUAGUGCGAAGCAAGGCUUCGGGUGCACCCCAGGCUUCUCCCCAGGCUCUGGGCUAGCGCUUGGCUCACCGCCGCCCACCACCUUGUGAAUCCC